rnacentral:rRNA from 1 species
AGCGAACGCUGGCGGCAUGCUUAACACAUGCAAGUCGCACGGAUCUUUCGGGAUCAGUGGCGGACGGGUGAGUAACGCGUAGGGAUCUAUCCAUGGGUGGGGGACAACUCCGGGAAACUGGAGCUAAUACCGCAUGAUACCUGAGGGUCAAAGGCGCAAGUCGCCUGUGGAGGAACCUGCGUUCGAUUAGCUAGUUGGUGGGGUAAAGGCCUACCAAGGCGAUGAUCGAUAGCUGGUUUGAGAGGAUGAUCAGCCACACUGGACUGAGACACGGCCCAGACUCCUACGGGAGGCAGCAGUGGGGAAUAUUGGACAAUGGGCGAAAGCCUGAUCCAGCAAUGCCGCGUGUGUGAAGAAGGUCUUCGGAUUGUAAAGCACUUUCGACGGGGACGAUGAUGACGGUACCCGUAGAAGAAGCCCCGGCUAACUUCGUG